rnacentral:rRNA from 1 species
UACGUAGGCAGCGAGCGUUGUUCGGAGUUACUGGGCGUAAAGGGUGUGUAGGCGGUUGUUUAAGUUUGGUGUGAAAUCUCCUGCUUAACCGGGAGGGUGCGCCGAAUACUGAGAAGCUAGAGUAUGGGAGAGGAAAGUGGAAUUCCUGGUGUAGCGGUGAAAUGCGUAGAUAUCAGGAGGAACACCUGUGGUGUAGACGCUUUCUGGACCAUAACUGACGCUGAUGCGCGAAAGCCAGGGGAGCGAACGGG